rnacentral:rRNA from 1 species
UAGUCCACGCCGUAAACGAUGGAUACUAGCUGUCCGGGACCUUGAGUCCUGGGCGGCCAAGCGAAAGUGAUAAGUAUCCCACCUGGGGAGUACGUUCGCAAGAAUGAAACUCAAAGGAAUUGACGGGGGCCCGCACAAGCGGUGGAGCAUGUGGUUUAAUUCGAUGAUACGCGAGGAACCUUACCAGGGCUUAAAUGCAUAUUGACAGGGGUAGAGAUACCUUUUCCUUCGGGCAAUUUGCAAGGUGCUGCAUGGUUGUCGUCAGCUCGUGUCGUGAGAUGUUGGGUUAAGUCCUAUAACGAGCGCAACCCCUGUUGUUAGUUGCCAGCGAGUAAUGUCGGGAACUCUAACAAGACUGCCGGUGCAAACCGCGAGGAAGGUGGGGAUGACGUCAAAUCAUCACGGCCCUUACGUCCUGGGCCACACACGUGCUACAAUGGUGGGGACAGAGAGCAGCCACUGCGCAAGCAGGAGCGAAUCUAUAAACCCUAUCUCAGUUCGGAUCGG